rnacentral:misc_RNA from 1 species
GUUCAGCAGUUGUGCACUUCAGAAGAUCUUCUGCUUCACCAACCACCGGCAGAGUUUAUUGCAAGGUAUACUAUUGCAAAGAAGAUGAGGUUUGCUUGUACCAGCCAUUGACCUUUGAAGUACCAUUUCAAGAGGUAAAUCCAGAUUUUGCCCCUGCCAUGAUCACACUUGCUUUUGAUGUGAAGCCAAAAACAUCCCCAACUAGCUUACAGAUUCCGGCUAGGUAAUGGAUUCAUCGUGAG